rnacentral:lncRNA from 1 species
GUUUUUCUCAUUUUCUGAUUUUCCUUUUAAUUUUUGUUUAUUCCAUUUUAUUUCAAAAAAUCAUAUCUCUCUCAUUUUAAUUCCAAAAAAUAUGAGACCAAUUGCAUUAUUUCUCUUUUAAUUUCUAGUUUCUGAAAAUGAUUUUUAAUAUUUUUUAUUUUAUCAUUUGAUAUUUUUUAUGAAUUUUCUCUUUUCUGGUUAUUUUUAAUUCAUUUUAAAUAGUUUUCAAUAUCCAAAAAAUACAAAAAUAUUUUCUUAACCUCUU